AACGAACGCUGGCGGCAUGCCUAACACAUGCAAGUCGAACGAGACCUUCGGGGCUAGUGGCGCACGGGUGCGUAACGCGUGGGAACCUGCCCUUAGGUUCGGAAUAACUCUCCGAAAGGGGUGCUAAUACCGGAUAAUGUCUUCGGAGCAAAGAUUUAUCGCCUUUGGAUGGGCCCGCGUUGGAUUAGCUAGUUGGUUGGGUAAAUGCCUACCAAGGCGACGGUCCAUAGCUGGUCUGAGAGGAUGAUCAGCCAGAGUGGGACUGAGACACGGCCCAGACUCCUACGGGAGGCAGCAGUGGGGAAUAUUGGGCAAUGGGCGAAAGCCUGAUGCAGCAAUGCCGCGUGAGUGAUGAAGGCCUUAGGGUUGUAAAGCUCUUUUACCCGGGAUGAUAAUGACAGUACCGGGAGAAUAAGCGCCGGCUAACUCCGUG
rnacentral:rRNA from 1 species